rnacentral:rRNA from 1 species
GACGAACGCUGGCGGCGUGCCUAAUACAUGCAAGCAGAACGCACAGUUUAUACCGUAGCUUGCUACACCAUAAACUGUGAGUUGCGAACGGGUGAGUAACGCGUAGGUAACCUGCCUGGUAGCGGGGGAUAACUAUUGGAAACGAUAGCUAAUACCGCAUAAUAUUGAUUAUUGCAUGAUAAUUGAUUGAAAGAUGCUAUUGCAUCACUACCAGAUGGACCUGCGUUGUAUUAGCUAGUAGGUGAGGUAACGGCUCACCUAGGCGACGAUACAUAGCCGACCUGAGAGGGUGAUCGGCCACACUGGGACUGAGACACGGCCCAGACUCCUACGGGAGGCAGCAGUAGGGAAUCUUCGGCAAUGGACGAAAGUCUGACCGAGCAACGCCGCGUGAGUGAAGAAGGUUUUCGGAUCGUAAAGCUCUGUUGUAAGAGAAGAACGGGUGUGAGAGUGGAAAGUUCACACUGUGACGGUAUCUUACCAGAAAGGGACGGCUAACUACGUG